GGCUGACCUUCCUCUGAUCACAGGCAAGACAGAGUUUCGCUCUUGUUGCCCAGGCUGCAGUGCAAUGGCGUGAUCUCGGCUCACUGCAACCUCUGCCUCCCGGGUUCAAGCAAUUCUCCUGCCUCAGCCUCCCAAGUAGCUGGGUUUACAGGCAUGCACCACCACACCCGGCUAUUUUGUAUUUUUAGUAGAGACGGGGUUUCUCCAUGUUGGUCAGGCUGGUCUGGAACUCUCAACCUUAGGUGAUCUGCCUGCCUUGGCCGUCCAAAGUGCUGGGAUUACAGGCGUGAACAAAUAGAAGCUGAGGGUGAAGGACCUACAGCUGUCACCUUCAUCUCUUCUCAACACUGCCAGCUGUCCCCUUGGAUCUCCCAGACAGACAACAGGGUACAUCUCUGGUUUCUCGGUGCCCCCUAGAAACCUCGGGUCAUUUCAAGGCAUUAUGCAAAUGAGAAGCUUUCCUUCUCUUCACCUCAUCUCCUGAUCUGCACAAAAGUGACUGUAGGACCCAGUGUUGUAGAUGAGCAUGAGAGUGUGGAGCAGAGUUGGCGAGUGCAAGUCGAGCCCAUCAACCUGGACAGCUGUCUCCGUGCUUUCACCAGUGAGGAAGAGCUAGGGGAAGAUGAGAUAUACUACUGUUCCAAGUGUAAGACCCACUGCUUUAGCAACAAAGAAGCUGGAUCUCUGGAGGCUUCCACCCUUCCUG
rnacentral:lncRNA from 1 species